rnacentral:rRNA from 1 species
ACGCUCGACACCUACGGGGGGCAGCAGUGGGGAAUAUUGCACAAUGGGGGAAACCCGUGAUGCAGCGACGCCGCGUGAGUGAAGAAGUAUUUCGGUAUGUAAAGCUCUAUCAGCAGGGAAGAAGAUGACGGUACCUGAGUAAGAAGCCCCGGCUAACUACGUGCCAGCAGACGCGGUAAUCUGAGCGGGCUGGCAAGGC